ensembl:lncRNA
AGUUGCGCUGUUGAACGUGUCAUCAGAACCAAGAAGGGGCCACUGCACAGAGAUGUGUUCCCGACAGAGCUCCGGAGGCUGCCAUGAGUCAUCUUCCCAGUCCGGGGGAUGCUGCAGUGGGGGCAGCUCCUCCAGCUACCAGGCACAGGGCUCCUCCUGCUGCGGGGGCUCCUCGGGAUACAGCAUGGGAGGAGGAUACAGUGGUGGCAGUGGGGGAUCGAGCCAGAAGAUCAUCAUUAGCUCAGGAGGAGGAGGAGGAGGUUCGUCUGGAUGCUGUGGUGGAGGAUCCAGCAGUGGUGGGUCUUCAGGAGGCAAGAUCAUCAUUGGAGGAGGUGGAAGUAGUGGGGGAUCCUCUGGGUGCUGCAGUGGAGGCUCCUCGGGCUACGGAAUAGGAGGAGGAUACAGCAGUGGUGGUUACUCGGGAUCCAAGAGCAUCAUUGGAGGAGGUGGAAGCAGUGGUGGAUCCUCUGGAUGCUGUGGUGGAGGAUCCAGCAGUGGUGGGUCUUCAGGUGGCAAGAUCAUAAUUACUGGAGGUGGGAGCAGUGGGGGAUCCUCUGGGUGCUGCAGUGGAGGCUCCUCGGGCUACGGAAUAGGAGGAGGAUACAGCAGUGGUGGUUACUCGGGAUCCAAGAGCAUCAUUGGAGGAGGUGGAAGCAGUGGUGGAUCCUCUGGAUGCUGUGGUGGGGGAUCCAGCAGUGGUGGGUCUUCAGGUGGCAAGAUCAUAAUUACAGGAGGUGGAAGCAGUGGAGGAUCCUCAGGAUGCUGUAGUGGGGGAUCCAGCUACGGGGGUGGAUAUAGCAGUGGAUCAUCAGGAUCGAAGAGCAUCAUUGGAGGUGGAAGCAGUGGAGGUUCCUCUGGAUGCUGCGGUGGUGGCUCUUCUGGCUAUGGCACUUCAGGCUAUGGCUCUUCCAGCUAUGGCAGUGGGGGAUCAGGCCAGAAGAUCAUCAUUAGCUCUGGAGGAGGAGGAGGAGGUGGCUCAUCUGGAUGCUGUGGUGGGGGAUCCAGCAGUGGUGGCUCUUCAGGUGGCAAGAUCAUAAUUACAGGAGGUGGAAGCAGUGGAGGAUCCUCAGGAUGCUGUAGUGGGGGAUCCAGCUACGGGGGUGGAUAUAGCAGUGGAUCAUCAGGAUCGAAGAGCAUCAUUGGAGGUGGAAGCAGUGGAGGUUCCUCUGGAUGCUGCAGUGGUGGCUCUUCUGGCUAUGGCACUUCAGGCUAUGGCUCUUCCAGCUAUGGCAGUGGGGGAUCAGGCCAGAAGAUCAUCAUUAGCUCUGGAGGAGGAGGAGGAGGUGGCUCAUCUGGAUGCUGUGGUGGGGGAUCCAGCAGUGGUGGCUCUUCAGGUGGCAAGAUCAUAAUUACAGGAGGUGGAAGCAGUGGGGGAUCCUCUGGGUGCUGCAGUGGAGGCUCCUCGGGCUACGGAAUAGGAGGAGGAUACAGCAGUGGUGGUUACUCGGGAUCCAAGAGCAUCAUUGGAGGAGGUGGAAGCAGUGGUGGAUCCUCUGGUUGCUGUGGUGGAGGAUCCAGCGGUGGUGGGUCUUCAGAAGGAAAGAUCAUCAUUACUGGAGGUGGGAGCAGUGGUGGAUCCUCUGGAUGCUGUAGUGGGGGAUCCAGCUACGGGGGUGGAUAUAGCAGUGGUUAUUCAGGAUCCAAGAGCAUCAUUGGAGGUGGAAGCAGUGGUGGUUCCUCUGGAUGCUGCGGUGGUGGCUCUUCUGGCUAUGGCUCUUCCAGCUAUGGCAGUGGGGGAUCAGGCCAGAAGAUCAUCGUUAGCUCUGGAGGUGGAGGAGGUGGCUCAUCUGGAUGCUGUGGUGGGGGAUCCAGCAGUGGUGGAUCUUCCGGAGGCAAGAUCAUUGUUGGAGGAGGUGGAAGCAGUGGGGGAUCCUCCGGAUGCUGCGGUGGGGGAUCCAGUGGGGGCAGUGGCGGUUCCUCGGGCCACACCAUCAUCAUCAGCUCCGGAGGAGGCAGUGGUGGGUACGGCCAGUCCUCGCAGCAGAAAUGUCCCAUUGUCAUUCCUCACAUCGAGAGCCACCAGACCAAGCAGGCCUGCUACUUUCCUGGCCAGCAGAAGUGACCGCCCCGGGCAGCGCAGCACUCAGCAGGAACAGCCCUGCCUCUGUUUUCCAUGUUUGUCUACUUCCCCACCAUGUGUCCUCUUCUCAAUCCUUGAUGCUCCAUCACUAUGCCAUGAACUCUGGGCUUAACAACCUUUUGCUCCGUGCUGGUGUUGUGAUUUCUUUGGUCAAAUUGUGCUCCAUUUUCAGUAAGGAUUUGUAGUACCUAAUAAAUAUCACGACAUCACAAUGUAGA